GACGAACGCUGGCGGCGUGCCUAAUACAUGCAAGUAGAACGCUGAAGGAGGAGCUUGCUUCUCCGGAUGAGUUGCGAACGGGUGAGUAACGCGUAGGUAACCUGCCUGGUAGCGGGGGAUAACUAUUGGAAACGAUAGCUAAUACCGCAUAAGAGUAGAUGUUGCAUGACAUUUGCUUAAAAGGUGCAAUUGCACCACUACCAGAUGGACCUGCGUUGUAUUAGCUAGUUGGUGGGGUAACGGCUCACCAAGGCGACGAUACAUAGCCGACCUGAGAGGGUGAUCGGCCACACUGGGACUGAGACACGGCCCAGACUCCUACGGGAGGCAGCAGUAGGGAAUCUUCGGCAAUGGACGGAAGUCUGACCGAGCAACGCCGCGUGAGUGAAGAAGGUUUUCGGAUCGUAAAGCUCUGUUGUAAGAGAAGAACGAGUGUGAGAGUGGAAAGUUCACACUGUGACGUAUCUACCAGAAAGGACGCA
rnacentral:rRNA from 1 species